rnacentral:rRNA from 1 species
UACGGAGGGUGCGAGCGUUGUCCGGAAUCACUGGGCGUAAAGGGCGCGUAGGUGGCCCGUUAAGUGGCUGGUGAAAUCCCGGGGCUCAACUCCGGGGCGGCCGGUCAGACUGGCGGGCUCGAGCACGGUAGGGGCACAUGGAAUUCCCGGUGUAGCGGUGGAAUGCGUAGAGAUCGGGAAGAACACCAGUGGCGAAGGCGUUGUGCUGGGCCGUUGCUGACACUGAGGCGCGACAGCGUGGGGAGCAAACAGG